GACAAACUUCCUUUUUCUAUUAAUUACUUGGGAAAAUACAAAAUUUUUUCACUGAUGGAACAUCUAGGCAAUUAUUCAAUUAAUUCAUGCCGAGUGCUCAUCCUAAAAAUUAAGAAAUGGAUUAACAGAGAAAAAAUGAUAAACUAAAAAUUAGACAAAAAUUAUAUUUACAGAUCCACACCUGCACGAAAUCAACACAGAAUCUCGAAUGCUCAGCUUUUUGUUGCCGAACUAGAAACAAAAUUGCCACAGAAUAAAAUCAAUCUGCACCUCUGAUUUGAAUAGUCUGAUUGACAUUCCCGGAACCAGCUAAUGAUGGCUGGAUGUUUGAUAAAGAUAUUGGUGUCAAAGGAGGUGAGACCAUAUCUUGAGGCAUCUCUGAAUUCUCAGUACUUUCCAGUGGCUUAGAGAUAUUCAAUGCCAUUGCUCUAAGACUGCUGGAGGGUAUGGAGAAACUGCGAGCAACAGCCUGAGGAGGUACUGGCAGCGGAGAUGCUGAAUUUGACACCAAUGAUCUACCAGUAGGACGCAUGUGACUUUUGGGCACCAAAGGAGCUGAAUGACCAACCAAACUCAAAGGCCUUGAAGACUUGGAGGCUGAACUGGCUGGGGGCCUAGGAA
rnacentral:misc_RNA from 1 species